rnacentral:rRNA from 1 species
GAUGAACGCUGGCGGCGUGCCUAAUACAUGCAAGUCGAGCGAACAGACGAGGAGCUUGCUCCUCUGACGUUAGCGGCGGACGGGUGAGUAACACGUGGAUAACCUACCUAUAAGACUGGGAUAACUUCGGGAAACCGGAGCUAAUACCGGAUAAUAUAUUGAACCGCAUGGUUCAAUAGUGAAAGGCGGUUUUGCUGUCACUUAUAGAUGGAUCCGCGCCGCAUUAGCUAGUUGGUAAGGUAACGGCUUACCAAGGCAACGAUGCGUAGCCGACCUGAGAGGGUGAUCGGCCACACUGGAACUGAGACACGGUCCAGACUCCUACGGGAGGCAGCGUUAGGGAAUCUUCCGCAAUGGGCGAAAGCCUGACGGAGCAACGCCGCGUGAGUGAUGAAGGUCUUCGGAUCGUAAAACUCUGUUAUUAGGGAAGAACAAAUGUGUAAGUAACUAUGCACGUCUUGACGGUACCUAAUCAGAAAGCCACGGCUAACUACGUG